UUAACUGAAGAGUUUGAUCAUGGCUCAGACUGAACGCUGGCGGCAGGCCUAACACAUGCAAGUCGAGCGGAAACGAUGGUAGCUUGC
rnacentral:rRNA from 1 species